AAAAGACUUGGUUCUGAUCUAAGUAACAGCACCAACGGAGACUUACACAUGGUUUUUUUAAAAGUAGUGAGGGGAUAGCUAAAUCUAGAUCAAGGAUUAAAGAUGAUUUUAUAGAUUUUAAAUCAAAGUUAUUAUGUAGACAAAAUAACUUAAAAGUUUCACUAACACCAGUGUUGGAUAUUAAGGAAGAAUUAAAGUAUGAAAGUAUGUAUUAGCUCAGUUAAUAAGAUCUGGUAAACUAGGUGCCAGCAUCCGCGGUUAUACCUAUGAGAUCAAGUUGUUAAGUGUAGGCAAUAAAGGCAGUUAGGUAAAACGUUGUUGUUAGUUAAUUUAAAAAUUUUUAAGGGUAGAAUCUUGAAAUAACUCCCAAAACCAAAAUUUGCUGUUAUCAAUAGCUGAAGCUGCGAAACCUAAGAAAGAAACUGGGAUUAGAUACCCCAUUAUUCUUAGGCAUAAACAGACCCUUCACUUCUGCCCGAGUACUAUAAACAAGAAAUUUAAAACUCAAAGAACUUGGCGGUGUCUUAGACCUCUCAGGGGAACUUGUUUCGUAAUCGACAGUCCACGUCACACCCGACUUUUCCUUGCAUUCAGCAUGUAUACCGUCGUCGGCAGGUAACUUUUAAGAAUCAUUAAGUUAGCUAGAAAGUUAUUAUUAGCUUUAACGUCAGAUCAAGGUGCAGCCAAUGGAAAAGAGCAAAUGAGUUACAAUUAAUAUUAAUAAUCACGAAAUUAAAAAUUAAAAUUUUUAAAGAAGGAGGACUUGAAAGUAAGAUUUAUUAGAAAAACUGUUUGAAUUACAAAGGCUCUGGGGCGUGCACACAUCGCCCGUCGCUCUCGCUGAAAAGUGAGAUAAGUCGUAACAUAGUAGGGGUAAUGGAAAUUGCCCCUAGUUGAGC
rnacentral:ncRNA from 1 species